CUGGAGCUUCUGGACUAAUAGAUAUAAACUUGGCUGCAGAUUUGACUGAUCCAACUUUGCCGCCAAAUCCUAGGAAAGUUGUUCUUUAUCGUCCUUAUACGACACAUUUUCUAGCGGUUAUAGCAACAAUUUGUGAGGAGCUCCCUCCAGAAAGCAUUAUGCUAAUAUAUAUAUCAGCCUCAGGGAAGGGUGCUCAAAGUAAUGUUUCUCAGAUGGAAAGCUCUGGAGGG
rnacentral:misc_RNA from 1 species